rnacentral:rRNA from 1 species
UACGUAGGGUGCGAGCGUUAAUCGGAAUUACUGGGCGUAAAGCGUGCGCAGGCGGUUUGUUAAGACAGAUGUGAAAGCCCCGGGCUUAACCUGGGAACUGCGUUUGUUACUGGCAAGCUAGAGUGUGUCAGAGGGAGGUAGAAUUCCACGUGUAGCAGUGAAAUGCGUAGAUAUGUGGAGGAAUACCGAUGGCGAAGGCAGCCUCCUGGGAUAACACUGACGCUCAUGCACGAAAGCGUGGGGAGCAAACAGG